GUGGCUCAUCUAUCGGCUGCCGUCGAGCCCGGAGCUGCGCAUGCCCAUCAGCAGCACGAACCCGCUGCUGGGAGGAGAUUCUACUGGCUGUGGACCAUUGCCACGGCGAACGUCGAGCAGUGGCGGCCUCUCUCAUCACGGAUCACACGAGAGCGUCGCCUCAGACCAGGGCGACGACGACCAGUGGGUCUCGCAGGUGAGAUAGUGACCCAUGCGGGGCCGCACCGGCUGUGGAUGGGACUCAGUUCUCCUUCAAGACGGUGAACGCUUCGAGCGGCGCGGUGUUGAAUUCGUCGUCGUCGGCGCUGCUGUCUCAGAGUCCCGAGACGCAGAUCAUCGCAUGGACUACGAUGAGCAGGAGCUGAGCAGUCUCAGGGUGCAGCCAUUCAGAUCCAGCCCAGUGGCCAUGCCCCGGGUAACCGGACACGGUAGCAGGGUCAGCGGCAGCAGCAGCACCAACCACUCAGGCCCUGCGAGCCUGCUGCUCAUAGAGGGAGGAUCG